rnacentral:rRNA from 1 species
CAAUAGCGUAUAUUAAAAUUGUUGCAGUUAAAAAGCUCGUAGUUGGAUUUGUGGCGUACGGUGUGUUCCGGGCACUUGUUGUCUGAGUAACCUGCUGUUGCCAUCCUUGGGUGGAACCUGUGUGGCAUUAGGUUGUCGUGCAGGGGAUGCCCAUCAUUUACUGUGAAAAAAUUAGAGUGUUCAAAGCAGGCUUAUGCCGUUGAAUAUAUUAGCAUGGAAUAAUGAGAUAGGACUUUUUUGCUAUUUUGUUGGUUUGCGCAAAGAGGUAAUGAUUAAUAGGGACAGUUGGGGGUAUUCGUAUUCCAUUGUCAGAGGUGAAAUUCUUGGAUUUUUGGAAGACGAACUACUGCGAAAGCAUUUACCAAGGAUGUUUUCAUUAA